rnacentral:lncRNA from 1 species
GCACUGAUUGAAGAUCAGCUCAAGCUCAUUUUGGAGGCCUAUUCUCAUUCUACUGAGAAGUAGGUUGUGGGCUUCAGGUUUUUUGAUGGGUGGUAUAGCAUUCUAACAAUGCUGUUUUGUGCACCAUGGUUCUAAUGACUAUUUUUGCUCAUUUUGUAUAUCUUUUUCAGGCUCCAGGCAUUUUGAUGGGUGGCGUAGUGUUCUAACAAUGCCUUCAGGUGUCUAUUUCGAUCAUUUUGUAUACCACUUUCUGGAGCCCUAAUCUGAUGUAAAGUUAUAUUAGACGAAUUAGAAGGGAUGCAAUUGGAAGUA